GAGGCUCAGGCCAAAGAGCUCCAGUAAGGCGAGGAACCCCCGUGCUCACCCAGGUCGGUGUGACGCCAGAGCCCCAGGGUCUGAGGUCGGCCGUGUGGGGCCGUCCAAGCGAAGACGCCACCCCUUGGCUCAGCACCCUGCCCCUGCGCGGGGACAUGCUUGCAGAGCCCUUCCAUAAUAAACUCCGCUUGCUCGGAGCCUGGAGAACUCGCCUGCGUGCUCCAGGCCGGCUUGGUUUGACAAGGAUCUGCCACUCGGCAUAAUCCAAAGUCACCAGAUGCCUCCAACGUGGCGGAUCGUGUUCUAAGCUUACUCCAGCAGCAUUAGCUCUCUGGAUCUUCCCCACAGCACGAAGGAGGCACCGCAACUACUUUCUUUCCACGUGACAGAACCGAGACUCAGGGCUGUGGUGCCACACUGGCUGAGAACUGGUGCCGUCUGCCCCGGCUCCGAGCGUGCAGCUCUACCAUCCAGAACAUACCGACCACAGCAGUCCACUUGAGGGAAGUCCCUCAACGGACACUCCCGAAGCCCUCAGCUGUGUGGAACAUGGGUGGGGCUAUAAACACCACCCCCACCUGCAACCUGAGUGACCCAGUCCAAAGGCAGCAUCCUAUAUUGCAUCUGUUAGAGAAUGCUACAGCAUGGGUGACUGGCAAGGCACAGCCGAUAAAAGACCAGGAACACCAUUGUGGGCUCAGCCCAGGUCCCUCCUCCCCUGUUUAUUCCUGGGGUUCCUUCUGCCUUGGGUCUCAGCCCCCACAGUCCACCAUGCUCUUUACUGCCAGGACAAUCUUUUUUUUUUUUUUUUUUGUAACAAACGAGAAGUCUUUCAACUAGAAAUUGUGGUGGGUAAUUUCAAUGACUUUUCUUUAAGGGAUGCAAAUUAUUCUCAGAGUCCACAGCCACCAUCCGCCUCAGGGGGCAGCCUGUUUCACAGCAGAGAAGCUUGGGUUCGUGCACUGAGAAACCCAGAGAAAUCAACAGUCACAGCCCACCUCUCCGCCUGAAUCAGAUGAAAGGUAAGCUAGUAUUUUAUGCACCCAGGCAUGCCUUCUCCCACUGCAGACUCACAGGCAGUUGUAGGAAAUGAACACACAGCGAUCCCAUAUACCCUUUGCCCUGCUUCCCCCAAUGGUGAUGUAGGAUGGCACCACACCCAGGCUACCCACACUCAAUCUGAGCCCACCUGAUGCAGGUGUUCCACUUUACUUGUUUUCAUCCCAGCAUGAGCUCUGUAUAACGCAGAUCCGACCACAUCACGCCCUUAGUUACAAUUUUCAGCAGCUUGGCACCGCCUUCGCACCAGAGUCCCGAAGGCCGACCACCUUCCCAUCCUCACGCCCCCAAGCGUUGUGCUCUGCAGUUCCGACAGUCUACUUGCCAUUCUUCAGGCUCAUGACCUGGCUACAGCAGAGAGACCUGGGGAGGGGCCAGGCUCACACAUGACAGCUACAGCCCCGGGGAAGCCAGCACGUGCCACAUCACAGACAAGGGAUAAUGCGGGAAAGAGCCAAAGGAUGAAGAGUCGCCCGGGCUGGCGGGAAGAAGCAGCCUGAAGCUCAGGCCGACAAAGCGUUCCGGGGAACGGACACCACAUGCUCCCUCUGCCCUCUCUGAGCUGAGAAAUCAGAAGUGUCUACUGUGCUUGGGGAAAAGUAAGCUGGAUUCCAAGCACUGAGACUGAAGAAUCACGUGAAGAAAGUGCACCAUGUCCAUUUGUAUUCUCAUUAAAAUGGGAUUUUCCUGCCCUUAAACAGGAGCUUGGACCUGAAACCAAACCCUUGGGAAGGUACUACUUGAUAUUCUUGGGCCUUGAAUGAAUUCCAUUAACUACUGACGGCCAUUAAAUAAACCAAUGAAACGCUGGCAGCCAUCAGUACAGGAGAACAGGGCAGACUCAGCUGAAACCCUUCCUCUGUGAUCGCCCCCCAGGCUCGUUCCCCCUCUUCAGCUCUAGAUGCACCGCUGUCCUGUAUUUGGGCAAUCUUCCUAUUUGUGUUUAUGAACUCUCACCACAUAGGAGUAGAUCUGUAAACAGUAUGUAGCAC